ensembl:lncRNA novel transcript
CGGAGUCCUCGGGCGCAGCGGCGGUGGCAGCAGCGGCGCCCCUCUGGGUGACUUGGCCGUGAGAAAGUGAAAGGAGCCCGCAGGCGGCGGCGACAGCUGCGCUGGGAGGGGCUUGUUUCCAGGCUCAGAGGCCCCGCGCACUCUGCGGGUGCGGAGCGAGCUUUUCGGUGUGCACUGUGACAACCACAAACACACUUUUGAACGUAGUGGGGCUUGGCUGCUGCGAGUUACGCAGGUAUCCUGGAGAGGCAGGGCACCCGGGGACACGGAUGACUCGAGGCCGACUUCGGGUGGCUCUCUCUGCUCCUUCCUGUGGGGGUGAAGACGCCCGGGUCCUCGCCGGCCCGUGCGCAGGGGAGCGGGACCGAGGAGCGCUCUCGCUCCGUCCUGCGGCGUCCCGCGCCCAGGUGCACAUCGGGGAGCUGGGGACGCAGGCGACUCAGGCAGUUUCUGGGAGUCGUUCUUACGUCAUCAUGUCACGGGCAGAACAGGGCAGAGCGCCCGCCUUUCUCGCAAAACCCUCCUGUCCCUUGUGUACUUACACUGUUACAAGUAAAGACUUCCCCAAGUGACCAAAUUUUAGAGCAUUACAGUAAAAUUGGUACUUGCAGAUGCCUCAGCUUGAUUCCUUAAUUGAUACGUAUCUAGCCACAACUUUAAACUACCGAGGGACGAUGUAAGACUGCUGUGUCGCUUUUCUUUCCUUCAAAUAAACUUUUACUCGGUACCUGUUCUUGGCAAUUAGACUGCGUUAAUCACAGCCACAAAGACGUGGAAAUGUCUGCCGUCAAGAAAUUGGAAAUCGUAUCGAGGCAAGAAUUACAAGUAAAAAGUUGAAUAACAAGUGGUGGGGGAGGGGGAAUGGCUGAAGAAAAUAAAAUAGAAAAAAAAAAACAACUUCAUA